UACGUAGGGGGCAAGCGUUAUCCGGAUUUACUGGGUGUAAAGAGAGCGUAGACGGCUGUACAAGUCUGAAGUGAAAGCCCGUGGCUCAACCGCGGAACUGCUUUGGAAACUGUAAAGCUGGAGUACUGGAGAGGCAGGCGGAAUUCCUAGUGUAGCGGUGAAAUGCGUAGAUAUUAGGAGGAACACCAGUGGCGAAGGCGGCCUGCUGGACAGAAACUGACGUUGAGGCUCGAAAGCGUGGGGAGCAAACAGG
rnacentral:rRNA from 1 species